CCCAGUGUGCACCCAACUGCUGGUGUCCCGACCAGACGAGGAGAACAUCACCAGUUACCUCCAGCUCAUCGAAAAGUGCCUGACUCAUGAGGCUUUCACGGAGACGCAGAAGAAACGGCUGCUAUCCUGGAAACAGCAAGUGCUGAAGCUCCUCCGGACAUUCCCGCGCAAAGCCGCACUAGAGAUGCAGAACUACCGGCAGCAGAAAGGGU
rnacentral:lncRNA from 1 species